rnacentral:ncRNA from 1 species
AGACUCGGGGUGCUGAUGUGCGCUGAACACAGAGGCUGAGAUUAUACCCAUAGAACCUGAUGCGGGUAAUGCCGUCGUAGGAAACAGAUGU